GGGCAUAUGGUGUAGUUGGUUUAUCACGCCCGCUUUGCACUCGUAUUUGGUUGCUUGCGGGAGGUGUUGGGUUCAAUUCCCAAUGUGUCCA